UACAGAGGAUGCAAGCGUUAUCCGGAAUGAUUGGGCGUAAAGCGUCUGUAAGUGGCUUUUUAAGUCCGCCGUCAAAUCCCAGGGCUCAACUCUGGACAGGCGGUGGAAACUACCAAGCUGGAGUACGGUAGGGGCAGAGGGAAUUUCCGGUGGAGCGGUGAAAUGCGUAGAGAUCGGAAGGAACACCAGUGGCGAAAGCGGCUUCCUGGUCCGACACCGACGUUCAGGCACGAAAGCGUGGGGAGCAAACAGG
rnacentral:rRNA from 1 species